UAAUGACAGUACAUCAGAGCUGAAGUGCAGGGCUACGGAAAACAUUCAGACUUCUUUUUUCCCAGCUGGAAUACACAAAGCUUUCUGAAAGGACCCUCUGGGUGGCAUUUCUCUAAUGAACAGUGAACUUGCUUUCCUAAGCUGUGUCAGAUUGUUACAAAGAAGACAAAGGAACUGUGCAUGCCUCAAGGACAGCUGGCAAAUAAGAGGCUAUUUAAUGUAGUGAAAAGCUGGAGGAGGAAUUAAAGUCAGUGAUUCAAAGUAAGAAAGGAGUCAAGUUGAUGGCAGUGGACUCUUCAGCGGUGAGUGACAGCAGAACAAGGUUCAACAGACAGAAACUAGAACGCAGGAUGUUCUGUACUAACACAGGGAAGAACUUUACUGUGAAGGUGAUAGAGCUCUGAAACAGGCUGCCCAGAGAAGUUAUGGAGACUCCUUCUCCGGAGAUUUUCAAUACCUUCCUGGACACCUACCAGUACAACUCUCUGCAGGGACCCUGCUUUAGCAGAG
ensembl:lncRNA